CCCUUGGUGGUGUAGUUGGUUAUCGCGUUCGGCUGUAAUUGGUGUAUCCAUCCUCCUGGAUGGUUGCUUGCAUACCGAAAUGUCGCCGGUUCGAUUCCGGCCCGAGGGA
rnacentral:tRNA from 1 species